rnacentral:rRNA from 1 species
GACGAACGCUGGCGGCGUGCUUAACACAUGCAAGUCGAGCGGAAAGGCCACUUCGGUGGUCCUCGAGCGGCGAACGGGUGAGUAACACGUGAGUAAUCUGCCCCUCACUUUGGGAUAGCCACCGGAAACGGUGAUUAAUACCGGAUAUGACCAUAUGUCGCAUGGCGUGUGGUGGAAAGUUUUUCGGUGAGGGAUGUGCUCGCGGCCUAUCAGCUUGAUGGUGAGGUAAUGGCUCACCAUGGCUUCGACGGGUAGCCGGCCUGAGAGGGUGACCGGUCACACUGGGACUGAGACACGGCCCAGACUUCUACGGGAGGCAGCAGUGGGGAAUAUUGGACAAUGGGCGGAAGCCUGAUCCAGCAACGCCGCGUGAGGGAUGACGGCCUUCGGGUUGUAAACCUCUUUCAGUACCGACGAAGCGCAAGUGACGGUAGGUACAGAAGAAGCACCGGCCAACUACGUG